UACAGAGGGUGCGAGCGUUGUUCGGAAUUAUUGGGCGUAAAGGGCGCGUAGGCGGCGCCACAAGUCACUUGUGAAAACUCUGGGCUCAACUCAGAGCCUGCAAGCGAAACUGUGGUGCUGGAGUAUGGGAGAGGUGCGUGGAAUUCCCGGUGUAGCGGUGAAAUGCGCAGAUAUCGGGAGGAACACCGGUGGCGAAGGCGGUUCUCUGGGCCUUACCUGACGCUGAGGAGCGAAAGCGUGGGGAGCGAACAGG
rnacentral:rRNA from 1 species